GAACCAGUUUUGAAUAAACAAGGACAGAAGCAUGCCAUGUGUUGUUGGGUCAGAGGCGAAGGUUCAUAGUUGAAAUCCGAAAAGAUGGUGGCGCACGCAGAAAUACGCGUGGUUCAUCGUGGUGGUAGCAAAAUAAACUUCAGAGAGCCAGUUAUUACAAAUGAUUCCAGGUUCCUUUUGUGUGCCUCGGGGGAGUCAGUGAAAGUGUACAGUUCCAGCUCAGAGGAAUGCGUCCAUGAUUUGCAGGGACACACAGACCUGGUGUCAGGCAUUGUCCGCAACCCUUCAAACCACCUGCAGGUAUACUCGUGCUCAGUAGAUGGCACUGUCCGAUUGUGGGACUUCACAGAUGGCAUCCUCAUCAAGACCUUCAUUAUUGGGUACCCCAUCUACUCCAUAUACGUCUCUGAAAAUCAUGGAGGAGUUGUGUUUGUCGUCGUCCCAAUGGCAAAUGACAAAAGCUCUGAGCUGUUCCAGCUGGUGGCUGUUCAUCUGCCCCGAAGUGGGGACCAGGAAGUGGAGGCGCGAGAGCUCUCGGCCGUCCUCUGUGAUGUCAGCCCCUCCGGGGCUGCCUCCUUUGGCAGAGGGGGUGAAUACAUUGCUGCCGCCAAAGGUUUACAGCUUGAGGUGUUUUUCUUCAAGAAGCAGAAGUCCUACAGGUUUUUCCUCAAGUCGGGGAAUAAGAAAGGGGCCAAGAAUGCCUUCACCUGUGUCUCGUGCCACCCUAAAGAGGACUGUAUCGCCACAGGUCACGAGGACGGCAAAAUUCGCCUGUGGAGAAACUUCAACCAGAAGAAGGAGUACACAUACUCCACCCUACACUGGCACCACGGGGCAGUCAACACACUGCAAUUCACCCCUGAAGGCACCAACCUGCUAAGCGGGGGGAUAGAAUCGGUGCUGGUCCAGUGGCGUUACACACAAGAGAACCAGAAGGACUUCCUGCCGCGCCUGGGCGGUGCAAUCACACACAUUGCCGUGUCACCUGACGGUUCAUUGUUCUGCACCUCCCACUCUGACAACAAAAUCACUAUCAUCCAGAGCUGUGUUAAAGUGUCGGCCAUCAUCCAGGGGCUGGUCAAGGGCGAGGGUGUGCGGACAGACCUGAUGAUCGACCCGCGUAGUAAAGCCUUGGUGCUCAACGGGAAACCAGGCCACUUGCAGUUCUACUCUCUCCAUCGCGACAAGCUGCUCUACAAUUUGGACAUAGUACAGCAGGAGUACAUCCACGAAGAGGGUCUGGACCAGUUUGAGGUGGUCAAGGCUGCGUUCGACACCCGCGGCGACUGGCUUGCUACGGUGGAGGAGAGGACGCAAAAAGGCUCUGAGCUAGAGAUCAAUUUGAAGCUGUGGGCAUACAAUGAGCAAACUCAGAGUUUUGUGCUGAACACUACAGUCACAGCCCCCCACGAGGACCAGAUUACAGCCAUGUGCUUCAGCCCCUCACCAGAGACCACCAUGCUGGUGACCAUCAGCUUCGACGGCCACUUCAAAGCCUGGCUGCUGGCAGACCACUCGGACACCAAGGCAGAGGGCGCCUCCUGGUCAUGUGACUUUGUUGGCGGGUACCACCUCCUUAAGCCUGGCUGCUGCUGCUUCUCGGCCGACGGCUCCCUAUUGGCUGUCGGUUUCCAGGAAGUGGUGACUGUAUGGAGCCCCUCCUGGGAGCUGCUUACCACCCUGUCCCAGCCCCCAGGGGCCAUCAGGGACCUUUGUUUUGGAAGGUUAAGCUGUUCCAAGUACCUGUUGGGGACCAGCACCAAGAACCAACUCUGUUGCUGGAACCUCCUCACCUGCUCAUUGGAGUGGAGCACCCCUGUGGAUGUGAGCCUGCUCCAGGCCGACCCACUGUCUGAGAACAUGGCUGCCUUCUGCAGUCAGUCUGGCUGCUCCGACUUGUUUGUGUUCAAGCCCGGCGAGUCGCGGCCCCUCUACUCCCAGAGGGCCUUGUGCACGGGCAAGGUACAGCAUGCCGUCUUCGCCCCGCGCGACCAGAUGCUGGAGAGCUGCGAGGAGCACGCUCAGUGGCUCAACAGAUCCCAGCUCUACUUCCUCACCCAACACAUGGAUUUGAUGACGUUUAGCACUAAGACUGAGGAGGACAGACUGUUGGCGUCCAGUAAACGGCUCAUGGUGGACGACAGUGUUGCCGUUACGCCAUUCUAUCUGUUGCUAGGGAAACACAGACAGCAGCAGCAAGAAGCGCUGACCAAUCCCAUGGCAGAAAGGAUUCAGCUACCACAGGGCUCCAUUGCCAUCAAGGAGCUGCUAUACACCCCAGCCCACGUCCUGCCUUCAGCCUCGUUCCUCUGCUCUAUGUUUGUCCGCUCCCUGCUCAUCUCCAGCUCUGCUGCCAGGUUUCUGGAAGGACUGUGGGGGGAUGGACUGUGAGGGGAUGGCAGAGGCUCGCCUUGUAGGAGACUGUUGCUGAUUACUGCUGACGUGUGGUGGUCUCUAAGGCGCUUAUAGCUGACGAAGCAUCACCCAGUAUAUCCAUAAAAAUUACGCUGAUUCGGGAUUUCGACUUGCUGAGGAAAGAUGCCUGCCUGUCUGUCUGUAUCAUUCCGACUCCCAACACGUUCAUAUCACAUCUACUCCCACUCCGGCGCUCAACGUCACCGUUCUACUAACUACCGGUCCUGGCAACCCACAUUGAGCACACCUCUUCCCCAUCGUUAAGCACACCUGGACUUCAUCACCACCCCUCAGUCUUCAGGCAGUAUUGGUUUUGGCUACGUUCAGUAAGCUUCUCUUGUAUUUGUAUUAUCGUCAUGGUUAUUAUUAAACUCACCCUCUGCACCUGC